GGUUGAGAGAUGGUGGGGAAUUUUGCUGCCGAAGAUAGUCUCUUAUGCAUACAAAAAUGGCGGCCCUAUAAUGAUGGUCCAGCUUUUGUAUAAGCCAAUAGAUGUAGAUUACACUGAAUGGUGAAAAUGGGACAGAUAGAAAAUGAAUUUGGUUCAUAUGGAGAUGACAAGGCCUACCUGCAUCAUUUAGCAAAGAUAGCCCGCAAACACCUUGGAGAUGAUGUUAUUCUAUAUACUACAGAUGGAGGUUCAAGAGAAAAUCUUAACAAAGGGACUAUUCCUGGGGAUGCUGUCUUUUCAGGUUGUGAGAAUUAAUAACUCCAAAAAUUAUAUUAUUGAUGUAUUUACAGUGAUACAAUGAGUCCUAUAUAUAUAAUACAUGUUCUACUCCAACUACAUAUGGGAUUAGGGUUAUUUACAUAUAACUAUUUAACUAACAAACAUGAUCAUUCUGUGUUUUAUCGGCAUUCUCCUUCAAGUCUCUGUAUUUAUCUGGUGGUCUAUGU